rnacentral:rRNA from 1 species
UACGUAGGGGGCAAGCGUUGUCCGGAUUUAUUGGGCGUAAAGCGCACGCAGGCGGUUUGGCAAGUUUGGAGUGACAGUGCCUGGCUCAACCAGGCAAGGCCUCUGAAAACUGCUGGACUUGAGGACCAGAGAGGGACAUAGAAUUCCGGGUGGAGUGGUGAAAUGCGUAGAUAUCCGGAGGAAUACCAAAGGCGAAGGCAGUGUCCUGGCUGGUAACUGACGCUAAGGUGCGAAAGCUAGGGGAGCGAACAGG